rnacentral:rRNA from 1 species
ACUCCUACGGGAGGCAGCAGUGGGGAAUCUUAGACAAUGGGCGCAAGCCUGAUCUAGCCAUGCCGCGUGAGUGACGAAGGCCUUAGGGUCGUAAAGCUCUUUCGCCAGGGAUGAUAAUGACAGUACCUGGUAAAGAAACCCCGGCUAACUCCGUGCCAGCAGCCGCGGUAAUACGGAGGGGUUAGCGUUGUUCGGAAUUACUGGGGCGUAAAGCGCACGUAGGCGGACUGGAAAGUUGGGGGUGAAAUCCCGGGGGCUCAACCUCGGAACUGCCUCCAAAACUACUAGUCUAGAGUUCGAGAGAGGUGAGUGGAAUUCCGAGUGUAGAGGUGAAAUUCGUAGAUAUUCGGAGGAACACCAGUGGCGAAGGCGGCUCACUGGCUCGAUACUGACGCUGAGGUGCGAAAGUGUGGGGAGCAAACAGGAUUAGAUACCCUGGUAGGAUAGCG